rnacentral:rRNA from 1 species
AAUAUAAGAGGUCCAGCCUGCCCAGUGACAUAGUUUAACGGCCGCGGUACCCUAACCGUGCGAAGGUAGCAUAAUCACUUGUUCUUUAAAUAAGGACUCGUAUCAACGGCAUCACGAGGGCUGUACUGUCUCCUUUCUCCAAUCAGUGAAACUGAUCUCCCCGUGAAGAAGCGGGGAUUGACCUAUAAGACGAGAAGACCCCAUGGAGCUUUAAACCCAACACACACCUCUACUCACUCAAAUCAGCAUAACCCAAGAGACUUGUGUGUUGGUUUUAGGUUGGGGGGACCGCGGAGUAAAAUCAAACCUCCAUGACAGACGGACUAACACCCUUAUCCAUGAACCACAAUUCUAAGAGCCAAUAAAUUGUUGUCUAAUGACCCAAUUACUUGAUCAACGAACCAAGUUACCCUGGGGAUAACAGCGCAAUCUACUUCAAGAGCCCCUAUCGACAAGUAGGUUUACGACCUCGAUGUUGGAUCAGGGUAUCCUAGUGGUGCAGCCGCUACUAAAGGUUCGUUUGUUCAACGAUUAAAACCCU